rnacentral:rRNA from 1 species
UCAUCUUCGGGGGUAGAGCACUGUUUCGGCUAGGGGGUCAUCCCGACUUACCAACCCGAUGCAAACUACGAAUACCGAAGAAUGUUAUCACGGGAGACACACGGCGGGUGCUAACGUCCGUCGUGAAGAGGGAAACAACCCAGACCGCCAGCUAAGGUCCCAAAGUCAUGGUUAAGUGGGAAACGAUGUGGGAAGGCACAGACAGCCAGGAUGUUGGCUUAGAAGCAGCCAUCAUUUAAAGAAAGCGUAAUAGCUCACUGGUCGAGUCGGCCUGCGCGGAAGAUGUAACGGGGCUAAACCAUGCACCGAAGCUGCGGCAGCGACACUAUGUGUUGUUGGGUAGGGGAGCGUUCUGUAAGCCGUUGAAGGUGGCCUGUGAGGGUUGCUGGAGGUAUCAGAAGUGCGAAUGCUGACAUAAGUAACGAUAAAGCGGGUGAAAAGCCCGCUCGCCGGAAGACCAAGGGUUCCUGUCCAACGUUAAUCGGGGCAGGGUGAGUCGACCCCUAAGGCGAGGCCGAAAGGCGUAGUCGAUGGGAAACAGGUUAAUAUUCCUGUACUCGGUGUUACUGCGAAGGGGGGACGGAGAAGGCUAUGUUAGCCGGGCGACGGUUGUCCCGGUUUAAGCAUGUAGGCGGGCGUUUUAGGUAAAUCCGGAACGUCAUUUAACGCUGAGGUGUGAUGACGAGGCACUACGGUGCUGAAGUAACAAAUGCCCUGCUUCCAGGAAAAGCCUCUAAGCAUCAGGUAACAUCAAAUCGUACCCCAAACCGACACAGGUGGUCAGGUAGAGAAUACCAAGGCGCUUGAGAGAACUCGGGUGAAGGAACUAGGCAAAAUGGUGCCGUAACUUCGGGAGAAGGCACGCUGAUGGUA